GGAGACAAUGUGUAGAAGGCAUUAGAAGGAGUGAUUCAUUGGUACUAUAGUAAUUGUGCACCAAAAUGACCAAUAAACCCCGUAGCGUCUGCCAAAGAGAUUAGCGCUGACUGGAUGGAAGAAAGGAGGUUAGAGUGAGGCGUCCAUAUAGGUCCAUAUUCUGAAACGUAUCGGGCUCCCAUUACGACCAUUUUACAAGGCCGCAGAGAAGAUUAACCGGGUUCUCAUGGGUGAUUCAUAAUGCAGAAGUCGGAUGAAUCUAUCACUAGGAUCACAAAACAGUCCAUGAAUAUCCCAACUACUUCUACGAGAGGCUCUUCAAACAGGCGUGCGAUGGUGCCGAUACGCUCAAGAAUACGGGCUGUGUUACCUUGCAGCAAGGGUGAGGGAGGGGGCGGCGAUGGUGCCGAUACGCUCAAGAAUACGGGCUGUGUUACCUUGCAGCAAGGGUGAGGGAGGGGGCGGCAAUGGUGCCGAUACGCUCAAGAAUACGGGCGGUGUUACCUUGCAGCAAGGGUGAGGGAGAGGGCGGGGCUUUUGGACAAAUUUAGUGCCCGACGGCUAUGGUAAAAGUACUGCUGAUUUCCAAGACACAAGAAAAGAGAAUAACUAAAUGCCAGUCAAGGUUUUGCUUCUGUCUUGUUACAUUUAAACAAGAGAGGAGCUGAUAGACAAUUAUUAAGUACAUCAGCAACACCCCAAGGAAGCAUGGUGAGGCUUGACGAAUUUAUACUUGCAACAUUAUCUUUAAUUACUAAUUUGAAUAAGGAAAGUUAUACGUCUUGAGAACCGAGUGUUUCACCCUUUUUUUAUGGUUACUUUCAUGUUGUUUAAGAAAAACUUUCCUCGUCAUCCUAGUUCGUUGUGGUCAACUUUUUCAGGUCAACUAGAAACAAUAUGUCACACACAGGAAAUCGUUGCCUACUCACCUCGCGGCGCUCGCGUCCAGGGAAGGGCAUCCUGCCUGUGGGGGAAAGUGUGAAAGGACAGAGUAAAUACUAAACAAAGAUGGAAGAAGAGUUUGACUCCUUUAUGCCUGUUAUUAAGAUUCUUAAGAAUGAUGUUUUCUAUGCCCUCUCUAGCCUCAAUCCUCAGAAGCCUUAUGGCCCUGAUGGAGUGCCUCCUAUUGUCCUUAAAAACUGUGCUUCCGUGCUGACACCCUGCCUGGUGAAACUCUUUCGCCUCUGCCUGUCAACAUCUACCUUUCCUUCCUGCUGGAAGUAUGCCUUCAUACAGCCUGUGUCUAAGAACGGUGACCGUUCCACUCCAUCAAACUACCAUCCUAUAGCUUUACUUUCCUGUCUAUCUACAGCUUUUGAAUCAUCCUUAACCGGAAGAUUCAAAAGCACCUUUCCACUUCUGACCUUCUAUCUGAUCGCUAGUAUGUGUUCCGCAAGGGGAGUUCUAUUGGUAAUCUCCUUGCCUUCCUAACUGACUCUUGGUCAUCCUUUCUUAGCCGUUUCGGUGAAACCUUUGCUAUUGCGCUGGACAUAUCAAAAACCUUUGAUUGCGUCUGGCACAAAUCUUUGCUUUCCAAACUACCCUCCUACGGUUUCUAUCCUUCUCUCUGUACCUUUAUCUUCAGUCUCCUUUCUGACCGCUCUAUUUCUGUUGUGGUAGACGGUUACUGAUCUUUUCGUAAACCAAUCAACAGUGGUGUCCCACAGGGCUCUGUCCUAUCUCCCACUAUUUCUGUUGUUCAUUAAUGAUCUUUCCAAAACGAACUGUCCUAUCCAUUCUUAGACCGAUGACUCUACUCUGCAUUACUCAACUUCUUUUAAUAGAAGACCCACCCAACAGGAACUAAACGAUUCCAGGCUGGAGGCUGCAGAACACUUAGCCUCAGACUUUACUAUUAUUUCCGAUUGGGGCAAGAAGAACCUGGUGUCCUUCAACGCCUCAAAAACUCAGUUUCUCCACCUAUCCACUCGACACAAUCUUCCAAACACCUAUCCCCUAUUCUUCGACAACACUCAGCUAUCACCUUCUUCAACACUAAACAUCCUCGGUUUAUCCUUAACUCAAAAUCUCAACUGGAAACUUCAUAUCUCUUCUCUUACUAAAUCAGCUUCCUCGAGGCUGGGCGUUCUGUAUCGUCUCCGCCAGUUAUUCUCCCCCGCACAGAUGCUUUCCAUUUAUAGGGGCCUUGUCCCCCCUCGUAUGGAGUAUGCAUCUCACGUGUGGGGGGGCUCCACACACUCAUCUCUCUUGGACAGAGUGGAGUCUAAAAGGCUCUUCGUCUCAUCAGCUCUCCUCUUACUGAUAGUCUUCUACCUCUUAAAUUCUGCCGCCAUGUUGCUUAUCUUUCUAUCUUCUAUCGAUAUUUUCAUGCUGACUGUUCUUCUGAACUUGCUAACUGCAUGCCUCCCCCUUUCCCGCAACCCCGCUGCACACGACUUUCUACUCCUGCUCAUUCCUAUAGUGUCCAAACCCCUUACGCAAGAGUUAACCAACCAGCACCUCCAUUCUUUCAUCCCCUUCACUGGUAAACUCUGGAACAGCCUUCCUUUGUCUGUAUUUCCUCCUGCCUAUGACUUGACCUUUUUCAAGAAGAGUGUAUCAAGACACCUCUCCACCCGAAAUUGACCUCUCUUUUGGCUACUCUUUACUUUUAACUUUUAUGGGAGCGGCGAGUAGCGGACUUUUUUUGUACUCUUUUUGUUGCCCUUGAGCCGUGACCUUUGAUGUAAAGAAAAAAAAACUCACAUUGGGACUGAGACUUUGCCACCAUGACACGUCGGAAGAAAUUCCAAAAUAUCGUUGUUGGUAUAUAUGUUUCUAUGUACGGGGAACACUUUGAAGCAUUUUUUUUUUCAUAUAAUCCAUCUUACACUUUGCUUUCUUUCCAUUCUACUAAAAUUAAUGAUAGAAAAAUCGUAAACUUAUUAAUCAGCAUGAAUUUAUUAAAGUGCUACCAUGCUACUAUGUAAGUACUAGACAGAAUAAAAAAUGAAGUCUGAAUGUAUUAUUUCUCUAGAGUCAGCUUCGACCUGAGCCAGGCACAAUAAGAGCUGUUUGAAU